UACGGGGGGGGGCAAGCGUUGUUCGGAAUUACUGGGCGUAAAGGGCUCGUAGGUGGCCAACUAAGUCAGACGUGAAAUCCCCCAGGCUCAACUUGGGAACUGCGUCUGAUACUGGAUGGCUUGAGUUUGGGAGAGGGAUGCGGAAUUCCAGGUGUAGCGGUGAAAUGCGUAGAUAUCUGGAGGAACACCGGUGGCGAAGGCGGCAUCCUGGACCAACACUGACGCUGAGUGAGCGAAAGCCAGGGGAGCAAACGGG
rnacentral:rRNA from 1 species